GACGAACGCUGGCGGCGCGCUUAACACAUGCAAGUCGAGCGAGAACCCAGGCUUCGGCCUGGGGGAAAGCGGCGAACGGGUGAGUAACACGUGGGUAAUCUGCCCUCGGCAUCGGGAUAGCCCGGGGAAACCCGGAUUAAUACCGGAUGGCCCAUCCGCUCUUCGGAGCGGCUGGAAAAGGUAGCUUCGGCCUCCGGCCGAGGAGGAGCCCGCGGCGGAUUAGCUUGUUGGUGGGGUAACGGCUCACCAAGGCGACGAUCCGUAGCUGGUCUGAGAGGACGAUCAGCCACACUGGGACUGAGACACGGCCCAGACUCCUACGGGAGGCAGCAGUGGGGAAUCUUGCACAAUGGGCGAAAGCCUGACGCAGCGACGCCGCGUGCGGGAAGAAGGCCUUCGGGUUGUAAACCGCUUUCAGGAGGGACGAAGCCACUCGGGUUAAUAGCCCAGAGGGUGACGGUACCUCCAGAAGAAGCCCCGGCUAACUACGUGCCAGCCGCCGCAGUAAGAC
rnacentral:rRNA from 1 species